CAUGCAAGUCGAACGAGAAUCUACUGAAAGAGUUUUCGGACAAUGGAUGUAGAGGAAAGUGGCGGACGGGUGAGUAACGCGUGAGGAACCUGCCUUGAAGAGGGGGACAACAGUUGGAAACGACUGCUAAUACCGCAUGAUGCAUAGGGAUCGCAUGAUUCUUAUGCCAAAGAUUUAUCGCUUCAAGAUGGCCUCGCGUCUGAUUAGCUAGUUGGCGGGGUAACGGCCCACCAAGGCGACGAUCAGUAGCCGGACUGAGAGGUUGAACGGCCACAUUGGGACUGAGAUACGGCCCAGACUCCUACGGGAGGCAGCAGUGGGGAAUAUUGGGCAAUGGGCGCAAGCCUGACCCAGCAACGCCGCGUGAAGGAAGAAGGCUUUCGGGUUGUAAACUUCUUUUAAGAGGGAAGAGCAGAAGACGGUACCUCUAGAAUAAGCCACGGCUAACUACGUGCCAGCAGCCGCGGUAAUACGUAGGUGGCAAGCGUUGUCCGGAUUUACUGGGUGUAAAGGGCGUGCAGCCGGGUCUGCAAGUCAGAUGUGAAAUCCAUGGGCUCAACCCAUGAACUGCAUUUGAAACUGUAGAUCUUGAGUGUCGGAGGGGCAAUCGGAAUUCCUAGUGUAGCGGUGAAAUGCGUAGAUAUUAGGAGGAACACCAGUGGCGAAGGCGGAUUGCUGGACGAUAACUGACGGUGAGGCGCGAAAGUGUGGGGAGCAAACAGGAUUAGAUACCCUGGUAGUCCACACUGUAAACGAUGAAUACUAGGUGUGCGGGGACUGACCCCCUGCGUGCCGCAGUAAACACAAUAAGUAUUCCACCUGGGGAGUACGAUCGCAAGGUUGAAACUCAAAGGAAUUGACGGGGGCCCGCACAAGCGG
rnacentral:rRNA from 1 species